AAAUUGAAGAGUUUGAUCAUGGCUCAGAUUGAACGCUGGCGGCAGGCCUAACACAUGCAAGUCGAGCGGUAGCACAGAGAGCUUGCUCUCGGGUGACGAGCGGCGGACGGGUGAGUAAUGUCUGGGAAACUGCCUGAUGGAGGGGGAUAACUACUGGAAACGGUAGCUAAUACCGCAUAACGUCGCAAGACCAAAGUGGGGACCUUCGGGCCUCAUGCCAUCAGAUGUGCCCAGAUGGGAUUAGCUAGUAGGUGGGGUAACGGCUCACCUAGGCGACGAUCCCUAGCUGGUCUGAGAGGAUGACCAGCCACACUGGAACUGAGACACGGUCCAGACUCCUACGGGAGGCAGCAGUGGGGAAUAUUGCACAAUGGGCGCAAGCCUGAUGCAGCCAUGCCGCGUGUGUGAAGAAGGCCUUCGGGUUGUAAAGCACUUUCAGCGGGGAGGAAGGCGUUAAGGUUAAUAACCUUGGCGAUUGACGUUACCCGCAGAAGAAGCACCGGCUAACUCCGUGCCAGCAGCCGCGGUAAUACGGAGGGUGCAAGCGUUAAUCGGAAUUACUGGGCGUAAAGCGCACGCAGGCGGUCUGUCAAGUCGGAUGUGAAAUCCCCGGGCUCAACCUGGGAACUGCAUUCGAAACUGGCAGGCUAGAGUCUUGUAGAGGGGGGUAGAAUUCCAGGUGUAGCGGUGAAAUGCGUAGAGAUCUGGAGGAAUACCGGUGGCGAAGGCGGCCCCCUGGACAAAGACUGACGCUCAGGUGCGAAAGCGUGGGGAGCAAACAGGAUUAGAUACCCUGGUAGUCCACGCCGUAAACGAUGUCGAUUUGGAGGUUGUGCCCUUGAGGCGUGGCUUCCGGAGCUAACGCGUUAAAUCGACCGCCUGGGGAGUACGGCCGCAAGGUUAAAACUCAAAUGAAUUGACGGGGGCCCGCACAAGCGGUGGAGCAUGUGGUUUAAUUCGAUGCAACGCGAAGAACCUUACCUGGUCUUGACAUCCACAGAACUU
rnacentral:rRNA from 1 species